UCCGAGUUGACCCCGGCAGUCUCCUAUGAGUCCCCGACAUUACUCGCUGGCAACAUAGGACGAGGGUUGCGCUCGUUGCGGGACUUAACCCAACAUCUCACGACACGAGCUGACGACAGCCAUGCAGCACCUGUGUCCAGGUUCCCUUUCGGGCACCCCCCCAUCUCUGGGAGGUUCCUGGCAUGUCAAGGGUAGGUAAGGUUUUUCGCGUUGCAUCGAAUUAAUCCACAUAAUCCACCGCUUGUGCGGGUCCCCGUCAAUUCCUUUGAGUUUUAACCUUGCGGCCGUACUCCCCAGGCGGUCAACUUCACGCGUUAGCUGCGUCACUAAGGGAUUGCUCCCCCAACGACUAGUUCGCAUCGUUUAGGGCGUGGACUAC
rnacentral:misc_RNA from 1 species